AUCCCACGCGUACCCCGGUUCCGAGCGCGCUGCCCACACCUACCUGACGACUGCUCGCUACGUUCUGUUGGCU
rnacentral:sRNA from 1 species